rnacentral:rRNA from 1 species
CCUACGGGGCGCAGCAGUGAGGAAUAUUGGUCAAUGGCCGCAGGGCUGAACCAGCCAAGUCGCGUGAGGGAUGACGGUCCUAUGGGUUGUAAAUCACUUUUAUUUGGGAAGAACUGUAAGUAGAGGAAAUGAUACUUACUUGACGGUACCUUUUGAAUAAGCCCCGGCUAACUACGUGCCAGCAGCCGCGGUAAUACGUAGGGGGCGAGCGUUAUCCGGAUUUAUUGGGCGUAAAGCGUGCGUAGGCGGUUUGUUAAGUCCAGAAUUAAAGCCCGAGGCUUAACCUCGGUUCGUUCUGGAUACUG